UGUCACGGCUUGGACUUGGACUGCUCCUUAUUAAAAGCUUGAAUAGAAAACGCCCUCUAGAACAGUGCUGUGUCACAGAAAUAUAAUGUGAGAAGCAAGGGCCAGCCACAAUCUUCGAACCUAGUGUGUAUUUCACGCAGCACGUCACAACAGGCGCUAGCCAGACUUUAAGUGUUCCAGAGUCACACACAGCCAGAUGGAGACCACAUGGAAGCAUGAAACCCUGGGGCAUGGAGACACUGUGGAUGUCCACGUGGCCAGCUCCCUGGCGGGGAUAGACUGUAUCCCUGUUUGUUACUGCUCGUGAGCAGCUUCUGAGAAGGGACCUUUAAACAGUUAUUUUGCAAGGUCUAAUUCUUCAAGUUCUGGAAAUAAAUAGUCUUGCUACUCUC